AUUGAACGCUGGCGGCAGGCUUAACACAUGCAAGUCGAACGAGCGGCGGACGGGUGAGUAAUGUCUGGGAAACUGCCUGAUGGAGGGGGCUAACUACUGGAAACGGUAGCUAAUACCGCAUACCAUCGGAUGUGCCCAGAUGGGCUUAGCUAGUAGGUGGGGUAAUGGCUCACCUAGGCGACGAUCCCUAGCUGGUCUGAGAGGAUGACCAGCCACAAGGGAACUGCGACACGGGCCAGAGUCCUACGGGAGGCAGCAGUGGGGAAUAUUGCACAAUGGGCGCAAGCCUGAGGCAGCCAUGCCGCGUGUAUGAAGAAGGCCUUCGGGUUGUAAAGUACUUUCAGCGAGGAGGCGUUACCCGCAGAAGAAGCACCGGCUAACUCCGUGCCAGCAGCCGCGGUAAUUC
rnacentral:rRNA from 1 species